GCUGUCCCCCCCGAAAUCCACCUUUUCCAGCCCUUCCCGGGUGGGCGGGAAGGGUUCCUCUGCGGCGCUCUCCCGGUGCUGUGGAAGUUCCCGCAGGAGGAGGAAGGGGAUAGCAAGGGCCCGGGGAGCCAGCUCUGUCAUGCCUUGAGAGGCAGCGGGGCGGCGGGAGCCGGGGAGGUGCGGGGGGCACCUCCGGAAAACUUUAAAGCGGGACGGGUGCUGCCAAACGCCAAGAAAAGAGGCGUCCGUGCGGACGGCUCCUGGUUAUUGAUGCCACACUGGGACACAGAGGAGGAGGAUGAAAAGUGUUUUCCCGCACACCAGCAAUCUGAUGUAAACAAGAUUAGAGCAAGUGAUGCAAGGCAAUUUCUGCUUCUUGGAGUAGGGACCACAGAUUGCUCCCUGCAGCAGAUGAUGUGAGCACAGGUAUUCAGUAUCUCCCCAAAAGCGAAGCAGACAUGUCCAGACCAUACGUGUGCCAGAGUGCAGGUGGGAUGAGGCACUUCUACAGAAGAAAUGAGUGACAUUGGAUUUGUUUGGUUUUCCCCAUAGUGACCACAAACUGCAUCUCUUCUGGCAGUUCAUCUACUUUCCUGAGAUUUCCCAGAACAUUGACCUACUGCACUCCUCUUCAAUGAGGGCAAGAGAGACUUCCCUGAAGAAAUGAAUCCCAGAACAGUUGGAAUCUUUCAGCUCCUUGUUGCAAAAGACUUCUGAUUCAGUUUGGUCCCCUUUUCCUCUAGAUGGCAUGCCCUCUUGAUGAUACUAAGGACAUGAACUGAUUUAAACUUCAUACUGCUUAUAUUCAAAGAAUACAAUAAUUGCUUAUGCUGUUCCAAUCUCAAUUUUGUAUGAACAGUCAUGCCUACAUUUACUCCUUUUACUGAC